rnacentral:rRNA from 1 species
GACGAACGCUGGCGGCGUGCCUAAUACAUGCAAGUAGAACGCUGAAGAGAGGAGCUUGCUCUUCUUGGAUGAGUUGCGAACGGGUGAGUAACGCGUAGGUAACCUGCCUUGUAGCGGGGGAUAACUAUUGGAAACGAUAGCUAAUACCGCAUAACAAUGGAUGACACAUGUCAUUUAUUUGAAAGGGGCAAUUGCUCCACUACAAGAUGGACCUGCGUUGUAUUAGCUAGUAGGUGAGGUAAUGGCUCACCUAGGCGACGAUACAUAGCCGACCUGGGAGGGUGGUCGGCCACACUGGGACUGAGACACGGCCCAGACUCCUACGGGAGGCAGCAGUAGGGAAUCUUCGGCAAUGGGGGCAAACCUGACCGAGCAACGCCGCGUGAGUGAAGAAGGGUUUCGGAUCGUAAAGCUCUGUUGUAAGUCAAGAACGGGUGUGAGAGUGGAAAGUUCACACUUUGACGGUAGCUAACCAGAAAGGGACGGCUAACUACGUG